rnacentral:lncRNA from 12 species
GUUUUCAAGACCCUUGAAAACCCAACUUUAUUCUCCAGCCUCAGACAGUAAACUCUGGCCCUCGUAGUCUAUAUCUGAGUCACAGUGAACUGCUUUUAAAGUGGAAUGUGCGGAGGAUCCCUGGGUGGCUCAGCGGUUUGGCGCCUGCCUUCAGCCCAGGGCCUGAAUCUGGAGUUCCGGGAUCGAGUCUCACGCCGGGCUCCCUGCAUGGAGCCUGCUUCUCCCUCUGCCUGUGUCUCUCUGCCCCUCUCUCUCUGUCUCUAUAAAUAAAAUCUUUAAAAAAAUAAUAAACUGGAAUGUGCCCUCUCAGGGACUUCUGUCAUCUGCUCUGCCCCAAAUGGUCUUGCAUCCCCAUUCAGCCCAUCCUUCAGCUCUCAACAUGGAUAUCACCCCUCGGAAUAGCUUUCCCUAAAGCCUCCCUUCCCUGCUGCACCUUAUAUUUGCCCUAAAAGGAUGCUUAUCCUGGGCAACUGUCUGUUAAUUGCAUGUUUGUUUCUUCUAGGAUGCCGGAAAAGCAUCAGGAAAAGCAGAAAAGUAGGAGUCCCCAUCAUUCUCAUUCACGUUCCAAUUUCCACAAACUGUCAUGGAAUCUGACACAAAACGGUGCUCUGCAAGUGUUUGAAGAAAAAAAACUUUGUUAUUCACAAAUUAUCAAGAUAGAAAACAAAACAAAGAAAUUGGUUCUAGCUAAUUAGAAAAAAAAAGAAGAAAGAGGAAGAAGAAGAAGAAGAAGAAGAAGAAGAAGAAGAAGGAGGAGGAGGAGGAGGAGGAGGAGGAGGAGGAGGAGAAGAAGAAGAAGAAGAAGAAGAAGAAGAAGAAGAAGAAGAAGAAGAAAGAAGAAGGAAGAAGAAGAAGAAGAAGAAGAAGAAGAAGAAGAAGAAAAAGAAAAAGAAAGAAAGAAAGAAAGAAAGAAAGAAAGAAAGAAAGAAAGAAAGAAAGAAAGAAAGAAAGAAAGAAAGAAAAAAAAGGUAAGCAGCUCAGGUCAGAAUUCAGCAAGUGCAAGCAAAUGUUUACACCUGUUCAGAGUUAAGAAC